GUCUAUGUCCACACAACCCUGAAUGCACCUGAUCUGGUCUGAUCUCAGAAGCUAAGCAACGUCAGGAUGGGUUAGUACUUGGAUGGGAGAUAAGGCUAAUAGCGCAUGUC
rnacentral:rRNA from 1 species